GAGUUAGGUUAAGAAAACCUUUAGCCUUCAAAGCUGAGAUUGGGGGCAUACCCACUCAUUA
rnacentral:tRNA from 1 species